GCUGGUUUUAUGCCGGAUCGAAGAUCUGAGGCUACCACGACGAUCUUGGCGAAAUUCCCUACAAAUUUGCUGGAACGGAUCGUUGGGGAAAUGAAGUUGGAAAUCAUCCCAGAGUUGAGGGUGUUGAUCAGGAACUUAUACGGGGGUUAGCCUAGGAUAUUUUGGGGGCUUUCUCAGUAGUCAGGAAACCUAGAGAGACCGGUGGGUCAGGGCCGCCGUUGAGUGAUUG